GCCAGGCACAGUGAUGCACACCUGUAGUCCUAGAUACUUGGGAGGCUUAGGCAGGAGGAUCGCUUUAGCCCAGGAGCUCAAGGCUGUAUGCAGUAUGCUAUGAUUGUGCCUGUGAAUAGCCACUGCACUCUAGCCUGGGCAACAUAGCGAGACCCUGACUUUA
rnacentral:SRP_RNA from 2 species